UCUGCAAUCCCACCAACAAUGGAGGAGUGUUCCUCUUUCUCCACAUCCUCGCCAGCAUCUGCUGUCACCUGAGUUUUUGAUCUUAGCCAAUUGCACUGGUGUGAGGUGAAAUCUCAGGGUUGUUUUGAUUUGCAUUUCCCUUAUGACUAAAGAUGUUGAACAUUUCUUUAGGUGUUUCUCAGCCAUUCGGCAUUUCUCAGCUGUGAAUUCUUUGUUUAGCUCUGAACCCCAUUUUUUAAUAGGGUUAUUUGUUUCCCUGCGGUCUAACUUCUUGAGUUCUUUGUAUAUUUUGGAUAUAAGGCCUCUAUCUGUUGUAGGAUUGGUAAAGAUCUUUUCCCAAUCUGUUGGUUGCCGUUUUGUCCUAACCACAGUGUCCUUUGCCUUACAGAAGCUUUGCAGUUUUAUGAGAUCCCAUUUGUCGAUUCUUGAUCUUAGAGCAUAAGCCAUUGGUGUUUUGUUCAGGAAAUUUUUUCCAGUGCCCGUACUGGUCUCUUCUUAAUCACUGCUAAUUUCUUAUCUCCAGCUAACCAGCAUCAAUUGUCCAGUAGUCCCCUUUCUUCUGGACUCCAAAGCCAGAGCCAUGUGGCCAAAGAUGCCAAGUUCUGCUGCUUGCUGGAACUGGAACGUGGACCCCCUUUUGCUAUUCCCAGCUUUCUGUUUUCCAGCUCCCCCACUGCCUAAGCUUGGCUGUCCUGGAACUUGCUCUGCAGAUUGACCUUGAACUCAGAGAUCUGCAUGGCUCUGUCUCCUGGGAUUAAAGGUUUCCUUUCUCGGCUUGCUCCUUUUCAUUAAAACGCUCUUCAUAAGGGUGAACUUUACGGGAUGGAGAGAAAGCUCAGUAGUUAAGAGCACUGACUGCUCUUCUAGAGGUCCUGAGUUCAACUCCCAGGAACCACAUAAUGGUUCACAACCAUCUGUAAUGGGAUCCGAUGCCCUCUUCAGGUAUGUCUGAAGACAGCCAUUGCAAACUCAUAUAAAUAAAAUAAAUACAUCUUCAAAAAUAAAAA